AAGCCCAGCGGCCGCCGCCGUGCUUGCCACGGUGGGUCGCCUUUCUCGGCCGCUGGUGCCGCGUCCGCAGUCAUGUCGCAGUUCUACCGUCGCAAGUACAAAUGCGGGGACCUGGUGUUCGCCAAAUUAAAGGGCUACGCCCACUGGCCCGCCAGGAUCGAGCAGACGGCCGAGGCCAACCGCUACCAGGUGUUUUUCUUCGGGACCCACGAGACGGCCUUCCUGGGCCCCAGGCACCUCUUCCCGUAUGAGGAGUCCAAGGAGAAGUUUGGCAAGCCGAACAAGAGGAGGGGCUUCAGCGAGGGCCUGUGGGAGAUCGAGAACAACCCCACUGUCCAGGCUUCCGAUUACCUGUGUGCCCUGGAGGAGAGCUGCCCUGAGGAGCCCGAGCCCGAGGCCACCGAAGGCGGCGAGGACCUGAAGAGCCACACCUACGGCGGCGACGACGAUGGGCAAGGGAAGCUGCUCGUCGACCUGCCAGCUGAGGAGAAUGAGAAGAAGCUGAAGAGGACCGUCGAGGCCCCGCCAGAGGACACCGCCAAGCGUCCCAAGGAGGCUGAUCUGGAAGAAGGAGAGGAGAUGAAGGAGGCGGCCGCUGUCGCCCAGGAAGCUGAGGAUGCGAGGCCACUCCUGGUGGAGGCGGAGAACGACCCUGCCGCCUCCGGGCCGGGCCCGGCCUGGGGGCUGCCCGCGGUGGAGCAGAAGCCAGAGGAAGAGUCCGCCGAGAGAGAGGCCCAGGCGCCAGGCGUCGGAGGCGGCCACGAGAGCCAGUAGUCACCAAAGUUUCCAGAAGAGCCCCCCGCCCCAUUCCUGCUGCUGCCUGCUUGUCACAGGGGGAACUGGCCACGGCCUACAAACUGGGACCGCCUCCCCCGCCCCCCCUCUCCCCCCAACCUGCUCUCCACCGCCCUCUCUGCCUCUCCCGCCUGGCGCUCGGGGAUUGACCCGGAGGGGGCAGCCCACCAGACCCUCACCUCUGCGCCCCCACACCCUGGGAUCUGAGUCAGCGCCUCUGCUCCUUGGGGCGAGUUGAGACUACGUGGCCCCUCCCUGCCUGGAACUGUUUGCCAAGGUUUCUGUUGAAGCCCGGACCAGCCGUUUUCCACCUGCCGAUGCCCCUCUGUCCCCCCCCGGCAUUCUGGAGUCCACGUUGGAAUCAGAGCCGGGAGUUUUGGAAGGGGUGAAGGAUAAGGAGCUGGGGGGGCACUUCCAGGGACCUGGCAGGGGCAACCCUCAAGCUGUGGUGGUGGGGGUGGCAGGAGGGUGGCGUCUUCUUGAACUCGCGUCCACUCCUCCCAGGCCUACGGUAUCUGAGGCCUAGAUUCUGAGAAAGCGAACGGCUUUGGCGGGAGGGCCUCCCUUUUGCUGCCCCAGGGAGUCAUGGGAGUUGUCGUUUUUCAUCAGAUAAGUUGGGCACUUCCAGGUUGGCGGCGCGAGCAGAUGCUUAGCUUCGCCCAGCUUCUUGGGUUGUAAGGCUGAGGGACAUCUGUCCCCAUUUAGAUCUUUAGAGGCUCACGGGAUGUUCUGGGAAGACCCCUGGCCACCCCUUUCCCUCCUCCCCCAGCCUCAAGGCCACUCCAAGUCAUAAACAUCACCCAGGUAUAAAAGAACUGGGUACCUCCACUCUCCUAGUUUUACCGUUGCGGUUACCCGUUUCUUGGAUGAACUAGGCGGUUCCCUUUCUACUUGGGGUUUCAUGGCUCGUUUAUGUAGUUAAGCUUCGCUGUUCCUUUUUUCCCACCCACAUCCCUGGACCUGGUCCCCUCAGUGUUGUCACCAGAUCUGAUGUGUAACCGACUGUCAGGAAAACAAGGGGCCCCUCCCCCACUUCUUCCUGGUGGUCUCUCUGCCUUCCGCCAUCUUUUGUCUCUCACCCGUGCCUUUCUCCCUUGGGCUCUGAGGAAAUAUUGUUGACAGUAGCUUUCGAAGUUUAGAUCUGAAUAUUUUCAGUUCUGAGGAAAUAAAACCCGUUGAUUACUUUAA